rnacentral:rRNA from 1 species
UCUCCUGGGAACGGGUGGUAAUGCCGGAUGCUCCAGUUGAUCGCAUGGUCUUCUGGGAAAGCUUUCGCGGUAUGGGAUGGGGUCGCGUCCUAUCAGCUUGACGGCGGGGUAACGGCCCACCGUGGCUUCGACGGGUAGCCGGCCUGAGAGGGCGACCGGCCACAUUGGGACUGAGAUACGGCCCAGACUCCUACGGGAGGCAGCAGUGGGGAAUAUUGCACAAUGGGCGCAAGCCUGAUGCAGCGACGCCGCGUGAGGGAUGGAGGCCUUCGGGUUGUAAACCUCUUUUAUCGGGGAGCAAGCGAGAGUGAGUUUACCCGUUGAAUAAGCACCGGCUAACUACGUGCCAGCAGCCGCGGUAAUACGUAGGGUGCAAGCGUUAUCCGGAAUUAUUGGGCGUAAAGGGCUCGUAGGCGGUUCGUCGCGUCCGGUGUGAAAGUCCAUCGCUUAACGGUGGAUCCGCGCCGGGUACGGGCGGGCUUGAGUGCGGUAGGGGAGACUGGAAUUCCCGGUGUAACGGUGGAAUGUGUAGAUAUCG